GGACGAACGCUGGCGGCGUGCUUAACACAUGCAAGUCGAACGAUGAAGCCCCUUCGGGGGUGGAUUAGUGGCGAACGGGUGAGUAACACGUGGGCAAUCUGCCCUGCACUCUGGGACAAGCCCUGGAAACGGGGUCUAAUACCGGAUACGACACAGGGAGGCAUCUCCUCUGUGUGGAAAGCUCCGGCGGUGCAGGAUGAGCCCGCGGCCUAUCAGCUUGUUGGUGAGGUAACGGCUCACCAAGGCGACGACGGGUAGCCGGCCUGAGAGGGCGACCGGCCACACUGGGACUGAGACACGGCCCAGACUCCUACGGGAGGCAGCAGUGGGGAAUAUUGCACAAUGGGCGCAAGCCUGAUGCAGCGACGCCGCGUGAGGGAUGACGGCCUUCGGGUUGUAAACCUCUUUCAGCAGGGAAGAAGCGCAAGUGACGGUACCUGCAGAAGAAGCGCCGGCUAACUACGU
rnacentral:rRNA from 1 species